AUACAUGACUGAACUUACUCAUGAACACGCGACUGAACAUGCAAUGGUAAAUGAUACAAAGUUUGAAAUAAAAACUGAGCAAGAAACUGAAUAAGCUUAAGGAAAGACAUUACCUUGGGCUGAUUCUGGAUUAGCGGAGAAGAGGUGAGGAUACUUGGUCCGCAUGUAUGCUUCUACUUCCCAAGUAUCUCCCUCAAGGGAUGAUUCCUUUAAAGAACUUUGACUAAGGUGACUUUUUUGUUCCUCAGUCUGCGAGUCUGAUAGUCAAGUAUUUCGACUGG
rnacentral:lncRNA from 1 species